rnacentral:rRNA from 1 species
GAUGAACGCUGGCGGCGUGCCUAAUACAUGCAAGUCGAGCGGAAAGGCCCUUCGGGGUACUCGAGCGGCGGACGGCUGAGUAACGCGUAGGAACGUACCCCAAAGUGAGGGAUAACUGCUCGAAAGAGUAGCUAAUACCGCAUGUGCUCUUCGGAGUAAAGCUUCGGCGAUUUGGGAACGGCCUGCGUCCUAUUAGCUAGUUGGUGAGGUAAUUGCUCACCAAGGCGACGAUAGGUAGCUGGUCUGAGAGGAUGAUCAGCCAGACUGGGACUGAGACACGGCCCAGACUCCUACGGGAGGCAGCAGUAGGGAAUUUUCCACAAUGGGCGAAAGCCUAAUGGAGCAACGCCGCGUGCAGGAUGAAUGCCUUCGGGUUGUAAACUGCUUUUAUAGGUGAAGAAUAUGACGGUAACCUAUGAAUAAGGAUCGGCUAACUCCGUGCCAGCCGCCGCGGUAA